rnacentral:rRNA from 1 species
AUUGAACGCUGGCGGCAUGCCUUACACAUGCAAGUCGAACGGUAACAGGUCUUCGGAUGCUGACGAGUGGCGAACGGGUGAGUAAUACAUCGGAACGUGCCUAGUAGUGGGGGAUAACUACUCGAAAGAGUGGCUAAUACCGCAUGAGAUCUACGGAUGAAAGCAGGGAUCGCAAGACCUUGUGCUACUAGAGCGGCCGGUGGCAGAUUAGGUAGUUGGUGGGAUAAAAGCUUACCAAGCCGACGAUCUGUAGCUGGUCUGAGAGGACGAUCAGCCACACUGGGACUGAGACACGGCCCAGACUCCUACGGGAGGCAGCAGUGGGGAAUUUUGGACAAUGGGCGCAAGCCUGAUCCAGCAAUGCCGCGUGCAGGAUGAAGGCCUUCGGGUUGUAAACUGCUUUUGUACGGAACGAAAAGCCCCGGGUUAAUACCCUGGGGUCAUGACGGUACCGUAAGAAUAAGCACCGGCUAACUACGUGCCAGCCGCCGCCGUAA